GCCUGGCUGGCUCAGUCUGAAGAGCAUGUAACUCUUGAUCCCAAGGUCGUGGGUUCAAGCCCCACAUUGGGUA
rnacentral:tRNA from 1 species